rnacentral:rRNA from 1 species
CUACGUGCCAGCAGCCGCGGUAAUACGGAAGGUCCAGGCGUUAUCCGGAUUUAUUGGGUUUAAAGGGAGCGUAGGCCGUGGAUUAAGCGUGUUGUGAAAUGUAGACGCUCAACGUCUGAAUUGCAGCGCAUACUGGUUUCCUUGAGUACGCACAACGUUGGCGGAAUUCGUCGUGUAGCGGUGAAAUGCUUAGAUAUGACGAAGAACUCCGAUUGCGAAGGCAGCUGACGGGAGCGCAACUGACGCUUAAGCUCGAAGGUGCGGGUAUCAAACAGGAUUAGAUACCCUGGUAGUCCGCACAGUAAACGAUGGAUGCCCGCUGUUGGUACCUGGUAUCAGCGGCUAAGCGAAAGCAUUAAGCAUCCCACCUGGGGAGUACGCCGGCAACGGUGAAACUCAAAGGAAUUGACGGGGGCCCGCACAAGCGGAGGAGCAUGUGGUUUAAUUCGACGCAACGCGAGGAAC